rnacentral:misc_RNA from 1 species
GCAAACCGCAAGUGAAGUUUGCUCAGAAAUUUGGUAAAAGUCUAACGUUCAAGUUCUAUGUAGUAUGUUGCAGAAAAAUUCGUUGUAAAAAUUUGUUUUCUCAAAAUUUGGUUGUACGCUCUCAAGUGGACAAACACCCCCAACCGCCGCCAAGCAGUUCUCCCGAUCAUUGCAAGCAGUGCAGGCGCCACGCAAUAGCCGUUGCUCUCCCGCAACAACAUCUGUGUACCCCAGCAAUAUGUCGCAUCAUCAACACGUUCUUUCCGAGGCCGCUGCCCUCCGUCUGAUUAACGGUCUGGAGGCAGCCGCCAACGCCACACCCCUCGGCGCUCAGGCGCAUCAGUCCGCGGCAGCUGAAGCCACCUGCUCGUCACAAAUCGUAGCAUCGGCCCAUCGCCUGGCCAGUGGCACGCCCACUGCAUCCAUGGCAGCCCUGGAAAUAUCCUCAGCACGGCAACGGAUGCUGCCACAGAUACCGCGAAGUCCCCUACAGGAGAGCCUCCAUUCGGCGAACGAGAGCGGCAACUCGUGCCGCAUCUGCCGCUGGAACCACAACGACAUGGAGAUCAUCAAGUGUCCGUGCAACUGCAAGGGCAGCGUGGUGAUCCUUGCAGGGCUACAUCCACCUGAAGUGCUUGAAGCGCUGGAUCAUGCACAGGCGGGAUAAUCGCUGCGAGAUCUGCAAUGCGGUCUUUGACAUCGCGGAGGAGCGGGCCAGUCUGAAGCAAAUGAUCCGAACCUUCUGCUGCGGCCGUUGUUGCGGCCUGAUUGUGAAGCAUCUGCUAUUUAGCGCCUCGCUGAUGCCACUAGCCCAUGUCAUAUUGCAGCAGGUGCUGCAGUGCAUGGAUAAUAUGAAUCAAGGCAACACCGAUCAGUUCACCGUCCAGGAGGUGUUUGUCGCCUCCUGCGCGCUCCUGACCUCCAGUGCACUGUUCUUCCACUUCUUUGAGUUUGUCACCACACGGUUCAUGCUCAUCCGGAACAUUCUGAGCCACUGGUGGAUGUUUGGCAGCACCUCCGACUAUGAACUGGUGGAGAUCGAGGAUGAUUCCAUCGAUUUUUUCGAUGAUUAGACAAUGAUAUGGACUGAUAACGGAAGGCAGAGCAGUCUUACAAUAACCUAAUGUUUACAAUUAAUAAAAUUAUUAAAGAAUUUCAUUUA